GAUGAACGCUGGCGGCGUGCUUAACACAUGCAAGUCGAACGAGGUCCAUGGAGCUUGCUCCGGAAGAUCUAGUGGCGAACGGGUGCGUAACACGUGAGAAACCUGCCCCGGACUUCGGGAUAACAGUUGGAAACGACUGCUAAUACCGGAUACCACCAUCACUCCACAUGGAGAGAUGAUGAAAGGUCCGCCGGUCCGGGAGGGUCUCACGGCCUAUCAGCUUGUUGGAGAGGUAACGGCUCACCAAGGCAUCGACGGGUAGCUGGUCUGAGAGGAUGAUCAGCCACACUGGAACUGAGACACGGUCCAG
rnacentral:rRNA from 1 species